CUUUCAGUGUACACAUCACUGCGGACUACGGUCUAUGCAUACCAAAAGUUCUUCUUUCUCCAGCUUUCUGUUGAGUGUGAAAAUUUAAAGAUCUGCAACUACUUAUGCCAGAAUUUGAACUAUCGAUGUGUAUUCUUAGCAAAUUCAAGGAUCUGGAACUACUUAUACCAGAAUUUGAACUACGGAUCAUUUUAACAUAUUUGUGGGUCAUCCUAGUCCAAAGCUUACAACUUUUCAGUAUACACUGGCUUCUUAGAUGCUAGGGUGAUGUGGGAUCAGAAAACAGAUUUCUAAUUGCACGUCUACAAUGGUUCAGCAACUUACUAUAGAUGACUUGAAUGGUAAGAUCAAAUGUUGGUCGAUAUCUUAUUUCUCCAUUAUAUUUGUAUGCUCUCUUUACAAUCUCAAUAAAUUAAGACCAUGGUGUUUGUAGUGAAUUUUACUUACCAUUCAUAUACCAUUGGAAAAAUGCAGUUUUGCCUGUUUAUAUUCCUUACGUUUGUUCAAUGGUGGACCUAUAUAUGAAUUAGAAAAUUGUGGUUGUGA